UACAGAGGUCUCAAGCGUUGUUCGGAUUCAUUGGGCGUAAAGGGUGCGUAGGCGGCGCGGUAAGUCGGGUGUGAAAUCUCGGAGCUUAACUCCGAAACUGCAUUCGAUACUGCCGUGCUUGAGGACUGGAGAGGAGACUGGAAUUUACGGUGUAGCGGUGAAAUGCGUAGAUAUCGUAAGGAAGACCAGUGGCGAAGGCGAAUCUCUGGACAGUUACUGACACUGGAGGCAC
rnacentral:rRNA from 1 species